rnacentral:pre_miRNA from 1 species
AUAAGAGUCGUGCCAGGACCCGGUGAGAACGUACAGUAAGCACUUGACGAUGUAUAUUGUACGACUCUCAUCGUAUCCUGCACGGCAAUGAACA